UCCUUGGUGGUCUAGUGGUUAGUAUUUGUCACUCCCACCUCCACGGCCCAGGUUUGAUUCCUGUUUAGGGAA